rnacentral:pre_miRNA from 1 species
AUAAUACUCCCUCCAUCCAGAAAUACUUGUCACAAGAAUGGAUGUAUCUAGAUGUAUUUUAGUUUUAGAUACAUUCAUUUUUAUUCAUUUUUGUGACAAGUAAUUCCGGAUGGAGGGCGUAACUU